rnacentral:rRNA from 1 species
UUGCCUCAGUAACGGCGAGUGAAGCGGCAACAGCUCAAAUUUGAAAUCUGGCUUCGGUCCGAGUUGUAAUUUGUAGAGGAUGCUUCGGCUUACGUACCGGUCUAAGUUCCUUGGAACAGGACGUCACAGAGGGUGAGAAUCCCGUUUGUGGCCGGCACUUCCGCCAUGUGAAGCUCCUUCGACGAGUCGAGUUGUUUGGGAAUGCAGCUCUAAAUGGGAGGUAAAUUUCUUCUAAAGCUAAAUACCGGCCAGAGACCGAUAGCGCACAAGUAGAGUGAUCGAAAGAUGAAAAGCACUUUGGAAAGAGAGUUAAAAAGUACGUGAAAUUGUUGAAAGGGAAGCGCUUGCGACCAGACUUGCCCGCGGAUGCUCAACCGGUCCUUCGGCCGGUGCACUCUUCCGCGGUCAGGCCAGCAUCAGUUCGGGCGGUCGGAUAAAGGCCUUGGGAAUGUGGCUCUCUUCGGGGAGUGUUAUAGCCCUUGGUGCAAUACGGCCCGCCUGGACUGAGGCCCGCGCUUCGGCUAGGAUGCUGGCGUAAUGGUCGUAAGCGGCCCGUCUUGAAACACGGACCAAGGAGUCUAACAUCUAUGCGAGUGUUUGGGUGUCAAACCCGUGCGCGAAAUGAAAGUGAACGGAGGUGGGAACCUUAGGGUGCACCAUCGACCGAUCCUGAUGUCUUCGGAUGGAUUUGAGUAAGAGCAUAGCUGUUGGGACCCGAAAGAUGGUGAACUAUGCCUGAAUAGGGUGAAGCCAGAGGAAACUCUGGUGGAGGCUCGCAGCGGUUCUGACGUGCAAAUCGAUCGUCAAAUUUGGGUAUAGGGGCGAAAGACUAAUCGAACCAUCUAG